rnacentral:rRNA from 1 species
GGAGGGUCCAAGCGUUGUUCGGAAUCACUGGGCGUAAAGCGCGUGUAGGCGGCUUGGCAAGUCGGGUGUGAAAUCCCGGGGCUCAACCCCGGAACUGCACCCGAAACUGCCUCGCUAGAGUCCCGGAGAGGGUGGCGGAAUUUCCGGUGUAGAGGUGAAAUUCGUAGAUAUCGGAAGGAACACCAGUGGCGAAGGCGGCCACCUGGACGGUGACUGACGCUGAGACGCGAAAGCGUGGGGAGCAAACAGGAUUAGAUACCCUGGGUAGUCCACGCCGUAAACGUUGAGUGCUAGACGUCGGGGGUAUUGACCCCCUCCGGUGUCGAAGCUAACGCAUUAAGCACUCCGCCUGGGGAGUACGGUCGCAAGACUA